UUUCCGUAGGUGAACCUGCGGAAGGAUCAUUACUGAGUGAGGGCCCUCUGGGUCCAACCUCCCACCCGUGUUUAUUGUACCUUGUUGCUUCGGCGAGCCCGCCUCACGGCCGCCGGGGGGCACCCGCCCCCGGGCCCGCGCCCGCCGAAGACACCAUUGAACUCUGUCUGAAGAUUGCAGUCUGAGUAGAUUAGCUAAAUCAGUUAAAACUUUCAACAACGGAUCUCUUGGUUCCGGCAUCGAUGAAGAACGCAGCGAAAUGCGAUAAGUAAUGUGAAUUGCAGAAUUCAGUGAAUCAUCGAGUCUUUGAACGCACAUUGCGCCCCCUGGUAUUCCGGGGGGCAUGCCUGUCCGAGCGUCAUUGCUGCCCUCAAGCACGGCUUGUGUGUUGGGCUUCGCCCCCCGUUCGUCGGGGGGCGGGCCCGAAAGGCAGCGGCGGCACCGCGUCCGGUCCUCGAGCGUAUGGGGCUUUGUCACCCGCUCUGUAGGCCCGGGCGGCGCGCGCCGGCGACACCCAAAUCAAUCUAUCCGGGUUGACCUCGGAUCAGGUAGGGAUACCCGCUGAACUUAA
rnacentral:rRNA from 1 species